CCUACGGGAGGCAGCAGUGAGGAAUAUUGGUCAAUGGACGAGAGUCUGAACCAGCCAAGUAGCGUGAAGGAUGACUGCCCUAUGGGUUGUAAACUUCUUUUAUAUGGGAAUAAAAUGUUCCAAGUGUGGGAUUUUGUAUGUACCAUAUGAAUAAGGAUCGGCUAACUCCGUGCCAGCAGCCGCGGUAAUACGGAGGAUCCGAGCGUUAUCCGGAUUUAUUGGGUUUAAAGGGAGCGUAGGUGGAUUGUUAAGUCAGUUGUGAAAGUUUGCGGCUCAACCGUAAAAUUGCAGUUGAAACUGGCAGUCGUGAGUACAGUAGAGGUGGGCGGAAUUCGUGGUGUAGCGGUGAAAUGCUUAGAUAUCACGAAGAACUCCGAUUGCGAAGGCAGCUCACUGGACUGCAACUGACACUGAGGCUCGAAAGUGUGGGUAUCAAACAGGAUUAGAUACCCUAGUAGUC
rnacentral:rRNA from 1 species